UACGUAGGGUGCAAGCGUUGUCCGGAAUUAUUGGGCGUAAAGAGCUCGUAGGCGGUUCGUCACGUCGGCUGUGAAAUCCCGAGGCUCAACCUCGGGUCUGCAGUCGAUACGGGCGGACUUGAGUACUGCAGGGGAGACUGGAAUUCCUGGUGUAGCGGUGAAAUGCGCAGAUAUUGGGAAGAACACCAGUGGCGAAGGCGGUUCUCUGGGACGGUACUGACGCUGAGACGCGAAAGCGUGGGGAGCGAACAGG
rnacentral:rRNA from 1 species